rnacentral:rRNA from 1 species
UACGUAGGGGGCAAGCGUUGUCCGGAAUUACUGGGCGUAAAGGGCGCGUAGGCGGCCUUCUAAGUCGAACGUGAAAUCCCCGGGCUCAACCCGGGAACUGCGUCCGAUACUGGAAGGCUUGAAUCCGGGAGAGGGAUGCGGAAUUCCAGGUGUAGCGGUGAAAUGCGUAGAUAUCUGGAGGAACACCGGUGGCGAAGGCGGCAUUCUGGACCGGCAUUGACGCUGAGGCGCGAAAGCCAGGGGAGCAAACGGG